rnacentral:rRNA from 1 species
AGCGAACGCUGGCGGCAGGCCUAACACAUGCAAGUCGAACGAACUCUUCGGAGUUAGUGGCGGACGGGUGAGUAACACGUGGGAACGUGCCUUUUGGUUCGGAAUAACUCAGGGAAACUUGUGCUAAUACCGAAUGUGCCCUUCGGGGGAAAGAUCUAUCGCCAUUAGAGCGGCCCGCGUCUGAUUAGCUAGUUGGUGAGGUAACGGCUCACCAAGGCGACGAUCAGUAGCUGGUCUGAGAGGAUGACCAGCCACACUGGGACUGAGACACGGCCCAGACUCCUACGGGAGGCAGCAGUGGGGAAUCUUGCGCAAUGGGCGAAAGCCUGACGCAGCCAUGCCGCGUGAAUGAUGAAGGUCUUAGGAUUGUAAAAUUCUUUCACCGGGGACGAUAAUGACGGUACCCGGAGAAGAAGCCCCGGCUAACUUCGUG